AUUUUGUACUUUUUUUUUUUUUUUUUUUUUAUAUACUUUUUGAGUUCCACUCUACAAAACAAAAUUUUAGUUAUCAUUUACAAUUGUUAAGUUAGUUAUCAGCAAAGAUACAUUUUUACUGUUAACUUGUAACUACUGUAAUAUAGAAAAUUUUUAUCAAGUGUAAGGUUUUAUUGGUGUUUUUUUUUUAUUUGUACACUAAACAAUUAGCCUUGAGUGCUAAUGCUCUGCAGCUACUUCUAAUGUACAUAAACUAUCUACACAAUAUGUGUACAUAACAAUACCAUACACAUUUAAUUUAUUAACAUAAGGUGUCUUCAGAUGCCAAGAAACAUGUUUUUUAGUGUGUAUGUGUAACCUGGUGAGUAGUGAGUGUGUAUGUGUAACCUGGUGAGACAGUUUGAAUGUUAAAGCAAGAGAAGCUGAAAGGAUCAAGUUCUAUGUUGAUGUCUGAAGUGUGGUGUCUAUGAAUUGAUGUCUGAAGUGUGGUGUGUUUGAAUUGAUGUCAGAAUUACACUUAUUUUUGUAGCAUUGAUAUUUUUGUCAUUAAAUUUAAAAGAAAUUUAAAAAAAAUAUAGAGACUAUCAAAUUAUUAAUGGUCUCUCUGACAUUAAUUUGA